UGCAACAGAUGUUUGAGUGACAGGUGAAAUUGUCAAGUGACAAACAUAAACAAACAAGACUGUAAGCAAGUGCUAAGUAAAAACCAAGAAAUUGAUUAAGUUUGUUUACAACCUAGUAGUAAGCCCUUGAAGAUGACUGGUCACACAGUCGAAAGCUAGGCUCAAAUUUGGUCACAUCAACUUUUGGAGUUUUAAUUUUGUCGAAUCCAGGCGUUACAAUGCAAUAUCCAAUUUCGUUCUAAAUCGACAAGCAAUACAACAACUAUAAA